rnacentral:lncRNA from 1 species
CCAACUGUCAUUUUCUGGGGGUGGGGGCUGGGCAGAAGAAAAUGGAGGGGCGCAGCUUCACCCCUUGCUCAGCUGCAGCCUUUUCAGAGUCAAGGUCUCCAGAGGGCAUUCCUCAACCCCAAACAUUGUUUGUUUAAAUUGUACCAAGGUCUCCAGAGGUGAACUCCCAACUCCAUUUAUAUUUAUUUGCUUUUGUAAAAAUAGUGUGUGUGGGGAGAACCUCAGUGGUUUACAAAGAAAGAAAAAACGAUGAAAUUAUUGCUAACAAUCUUUGUUGUUGUUGUUUAGUUGUGUUCGCCUCUUCGUGACCCCAUGGACCAGAGCAUGCCAGGCACUCCUGUCUUCCACUGCCUCCCGCAGUUUGGUCAGACUCAUGCUGGUAGCUUCGAGAACACUGUCCCACCAUCUCGUCCUCUGCCGUCCCCUUCUCCUUGUGCCCUCCAUCUUUCCCAACAUCAGGGUCUUUUCCAGGAGUCUUCUCUUCUCAUGAGGUGGCCAAAGUACUGGAGCCUCAGCUUCAGGAUCUGUCCUUCCAGUGAGCACUUAGGGCUGAUUUCCUUAAGAAUGGAUCAGGUUUGAUCUUCUUGCAGUCCAUGGGACUCUCAAGAGUCUCCUCCAGCACCAUAAUUCAAAAGCAUCAAUUCUUCGGCGAUCAGCCUUCUUUAUGGUCCAGCUCUCACUUCCAUACAUUACUACUGGGAAAACCAUAGCUUUAACUAUAUGGACCUUUGUUGGCAAGGUGAUGUCUCUGCUUUUUUAAGAUGCUGUCUAGGUUUGUCAUUGCUUUUCUCCCAAGAAGCAGGCGUCUUUUAAUUUCGUGACUGCUGUCACCAUCUGCAGUGAUUAUGGAGCCCAAGAAAGUAAAAUCUCUCACUGCCUCCAUUUCUUCCCCUUCUAUUUGCCAGGAGGUGAUGGGCCCAGUGGCCAUGAUCUUCGUUUUUUUGAUGUUGAGCUUCAGACCAUAUUUUGUGCUCUCCUCUUUCACCCUCAUUAAAAGGUUCUUUAAUUCCUCCUCGCUUUCUGCCAUCAAGGUCGUGUCAUCUGCAUAUCUGAGUUGUUGAUAUUUCUUCCGGCAAUCUUAAUUCCGGCUUGGGAUUCAUCCAGCCCAGCCUUUACAGCCAUAAUUUAAAACACACAAAGUCAAAAACUACAACAGAACAUCAGUUUUAAUAAGGACAAACAAUAGGUUUUGGUCACAGGACAGUUGCAAGAUGGAAUUUUCUAGUGCAACUUCAUGCUUUUAAACAAAGGCUGUCAAGGCUGGACAUUUUUAGUUCUAAAGGUAAAUGUUUUGGAAACCAUUCAUGGAAACUAUUUAGCAAUCUGAGCUUCUACAGGUUUUUCAGGGCUUUGGUGUGUUUUAGGGAUAAACAAUGUUAUUUUUACAAAGCAACGCAGUAUUUACAUAGAAUAUUUUGGGUGGCUCUAAUCCUUCUGUUGUUGUUUAGCUGCUAAAUUGCAGGCUGGUGUUACAUGGAUUAUUUUAAAAGAAACCACAGGAGUAUCAUGUUCCCGAUGGUCACCAAGCUGGUUUUCUUUGCAUAAUACCGAAAGCAGCAAUAGUUGUAAAACAUGAUUACAAUGACACAAUCCCAGUUCAGGGGUGUUGGGGCACUUAAUCAAGUCAGCCUAACAUAAUUUGGGCUAAUUAAUUAAGUCAGCCUAACAUAAUUUGGGGGUGCAAGACCUUUUUUUGCUGCGGGCAUUUGGAAGUUGAAACAUCAAAGCAAUAUUUAGCUAUGAAAAUAAUAGCUCAAAGGUGCUGAUGUGUACCAGCAAUGGAAAUAUGGAACAGAGCAGAGGAAUACAUUGGUACUAGGGAGGGCCAAGCAACCUCAUUUAGAGGGAUAGCUUGCAAUGGAGCUACGUGUCCUUUUCAUGAGUGCAGGGUUGAGCCAAGAAGAGUGGAAACAGCUGCUACAAACCAGGAUGUUGAGAGGCAUUGCUUCUCACUCUUUGGGCAGAUACCUCUCCUGUUGGGAAAUGGCCUUGAAGGCCCUUAAAUCUAGGGCCUGGGUGGGGAUUCUUUAAUGGACAAUUAUUUAGUUACGUAAAACUAAUUUCUAGCCCACUUUUUUUCUAGACAGAUACUGCGGAGAGUAAACAGUAAUAUAAGGGAGGAGUUUGAUGCAGUGAUACGGAGAUCGUGGUCUGAUGGGGCAAUGUCCCCUCUCUUCUUCCAUGGCGCUGAGCCUCUUUGGCUUGCCGAUCAGAGUUGGCAGUCCGAAUCCGCGCAACAGGGUGAGCUCUCAUUGUUCUUUCCCAGCUUCUGCCAACCUAGCAGUUUGAAAGCACGCCAGUGCAAGUAGAUAAAUAGGUACCACUGCAGCGGGGAGGUAAACAGCGUUUCCGUGUGCUCUGGUUUCCGUCACGGUGUGCCAUUGCGCCAGAAGCUGUUUAGUCCUGCUGGCCACAUGACCCGGAAAGCUGUCUGUGGACAAACGCCGGCUCCCUCGUCCUGAAGCAAGAUGAACGCUGCAACCCCAUAGUCGCCUUUGACUGGAUUUAACCCUCCAGGGGUCCUUUACCUAUAUUUUUUUUUACCUCUAGCCAAUAGGUGGGGGUCACAGGGGGAAAGCCCUGCUGUUCUAACAGAAGUUCUUGUGUGGGUUUCCACUAGGAAGUGGCUCAUCAGCUGAAUACAGUGGUACCUCUGGUUAAGUACUUAAUUCGUUCCGGAGGUCCGUACUUACGGUAACCUGAAACUGUUCUUAACCUGAAGCACCACUUUAGCUAAUGGGGCCUCCUGCUGCUGCCACGCCGCCGGAGCCCAAUUUCUGUUCUCAUCCUGAAGCAAAGUUCUUAACCUGAAGCACUAUUUCUGGGUUAGCGGAGUCUGUAACCUGAAGCGUGUGUAACCUGAGGUACCACUGUACAACCCACAGUAAUCAACAACCAAGACACAUGAUACUUUUUCUCAUUUCUUUCUUUUAGUCAGUGCUGUUUUUCUAGAAAAAGAGAUGCCGGAACUCACCAUGAACACCUCCCUCAUUUUCUUAGAAUGGCAAUGGCACCCACUUGAGAGGUGCCGGAACUGAGUUCCUGGAAGUUCCCCCUGGGGGAAAUCCCUGCUUUUAAUUAUGUUUGUUAAUCUUUGUCCCCCAUCUCAACGUAAGUAUGUAUCUCUGUGUUGAAUACUGAGUAUAUAUAAAUUUUAAAACAUUAAAAACACAUAAGACAAAGAAAAGGCAGUAAGAAAUUUCAAAAGUACCGCAAUAGCUGCGAGAACAUUGUUAGCGAAGAAUUGGAAGAAACAAAAUUUACCAACUAUCGAAGAAUGGCAGAUAAUAAUAAUAAUAAUAAUAAUAAUAAUAAUAAUAAUAAUAAUAAUUUAUUUAUACCCCGGCCAUCUGGCUGGGCUUCCCCAGCCACUCUGAUGAAGAUGAUGGACUAUAUGGAACUUGCCGAACUGACCGGGAGACUCCGAGACCAGAGAUAAGAGAAGGUGGAAGAAGACUGGAAGAAGUUUAAGGAAUAUUUGAAAAAAUAUGUUAAUAUUUAAACCUUAGAAUAGCUUUGGAAGGGGACAUAGGCUGUAGGGUUAGAAGUAGAAGAUAGGGUAUUUAAAAAUAGUAUUAUUUGUAAGUGAUAAAAUGUGAAGUUAUUUUAAGUAUGAUUUUAAAAAAAGAUGGUUAGAAAUUAUGAUAUAUGUAAACUGCUAAAGAUGAAGUAAAAUGAAAAUCAGAUAGGGUGGGACUUGGGGAAGCCAACUUAACAAUGUUUAGAAAAAUAAGGAUAUGACAAGAAUUUGUUUGUAUUAUUUGUCUUCUCUGUCUGUGUUUUUUAUUUGUGUUAUAAAAUGAUUUUAAAAAAUUUGGGGGAAAAAAGAGAAAUUUCAAGAGUACCAGUGGAGGCUGGUCGAUUAGGGCGAAUGGGACACUGCCCCAGCAACCUCAGCCUGCCUUUUUACUUCCUUCAAGUCCUAGAAUCAUAGAGUAGGAAGAGAUCCCAAAAGUCAACUAAUCCAAUCCCCUGCAAUCCUUCCCACAGCCGUCCCUGGGUUUGCGUGAACCACUAACCUUCUGGUUAACAGCCAGAUGCACUGACCCAUUGUGGGGGUGCUACUGCCUGUUGGCUUCCUCCUCCUUAGUCCCUUGUGCAACUCAGCAGAGAGGAGGCUGGUGAGAAAACUGUAAUUAGUUGGCUCUGCCUGUUAGUGGCUUUGGCUCUGCACACUGUUGGGCUUCCUGCCUUCCGCCCUACUAGUCCCAAUGGGAACCAGCCAGCACAGAAGUGAACAACCAUCUUUUUAAAACAAGCACCAACCUUAAGGUUACCAGAGUUAGGUGAUAAUGUCAUAACUGGAGGAGUCUUGCAACUCCUAAGCUGCUUGGCUGGCGAGAUGGCAGCUGUCCAACAAACAAAGUUACCAAUCACAGCUUUGCCCAAUCAAGAGCCUAAUGUUAUAGCACUACCGGCUAUAGUGGAAACUCCUGUAACUUCAAACUAUUCAUUAUCACGUGUGAGAGCCAAAAGGAGCUACUUACUAUGUGAGGCUUAAUCAAGGAAAAUGAAAACCCAGGCAUCACUGAUUAUUUAUUUAAUAUAUUCCUGUAGAACAUCCAAUAGCAUACGAAAUGUGGGCAAUUCGCAUAAAUAGAAGAUUGAAAUGUAAUAUU